CACGGGGGGAGCGAACGUUGUUCGGAAUCACUGGGCGUAAAGGGCGUGUAGGCGGUUCGGUAAGUGGAAUGUGAAAUCCCCCGGCUUACCCGGGGAACUGCAUCCCAUACUGCUGGACUUGAGUGCGGGAGAGGAUGGAGGAAUUCCUGGUGUAGCGGUGAAAUGCGUAGAGAUCAGGAGGAACACCCGUGGCGAAGGCGGCCCUCUGGCUCGACCCUGACGCUGAGGCGCGAAAGCGUGGGGAGCGAACGGG
rnacentral:rRNA from 1 species